GUUUCCGUGGUGUAGUGGUUAUCACAUCCGCCUAACACGCGGAACGCCCCCGGUUCAAUCCCGGGCGGAAACA